rnacentral:rRNA from 1 species
GAUGAACGCUGGCGGCGUGCCUAAUACAUGCAAGUCGAGCGAACAGAUGAGGAGCUUGCUCCUCUGACGUUAGCGGCGGACGGGUGAGUAACACGUGGAUAACCUACCUAUAAGACUGGGAUAACUUCGGGAAACCGGAGCUAAUACCGGAUAAUAUAUUGAACCGCAUGGUUCAAUAGUGAAAGACGGUUUUGCUUUCACUUAUAGAUUGAUCCGCGCCGCAUUAGCUAGUUGGUAAGGUAACGGCUUACCAAGGCAACGAUGCGUAGCCGACCUGAGAGGGUGAUCGGCCACACGGGAACUGAGACACGGUCCAGACUCCUACGGGAGGCAGCAGUAGGGAAUCUUCCGCAAUGGGCGAAAGCCUGACGGAGCAACGCCGCGUGAGUGAUGAAGGUCUUCGGCUCGUAAAACUAUGUUAUUAGGGAAGAACAAAUGUGUAAGUAACUAUGCACGUCUUGACGGUACCUAAUCAGAAAGCCACGGCUAACUACGUG